GACGAACGCUGGCGGCGUGCUUAACACAUGCCAGUCGAACGGAAAGGCCCUGCUUUUGUGGGGUGCUCGAGUGGCGAACGGGUGAGUAACACGUGAGUAACCUGCCCUUGACUUUGGGAUAACUUCAGGAAACUGGGGCUAAUACCGGAUAGGAGCUCCUGCUGCAUGGUGGGGGUUGGAAAGUUUCGGCGGUUGGGGAUGGACUCGCGGCUUAUCAGCUUGUUGGUGGGGUAGUGGCUUACCAAGGCUUUGACGGGUAGCCGGCCUGAGAGGGUGACCGGCCACAUUGGGACUGAGAUACGGCCCAGACUCCUACGGGAGGCAGCAGUGGGGAAUAUUGCACAAUGGGCGGAAGCCUGAUGCAGCAACGCCGCGUGCGGGAUGACGGCCUUUGGGUUGUAAACCUCUUUCGCCUGUGACGAAGCGUGAGUGACGGUAAUGGGUAAAGAAGCACCGGCUAACUACGUG
rnacentral:rRNA from 1 species